rnacentral:rRNA from 1 species
UACGGGGGGGGCAAGCGUUGUUCGGAAUUACUGGGCGUAAAGGGCUCGUAGGCGGCCAACUAAGUCCGACGUGAAAUCCCCAGGCUUAACCUGGGAACUGCGUCGGAUACUGGAUGGCUUGAAUUCGUGAGAGGGAUGCAGAAUUCCAGGUGUAGCGGUGAAAUGCGUAGAUAUCUGGAGGAAUACCGGUGGCGAAGGCGGCAUCCUGGACCGACAUUGACGCUGAGGAGCGAAAGCUAGGGGAUCAAACGGG